UUUUUGUUUAUAAGAUUUGUUUGACUUAAUGUUAUUUUAUAAACACACAUAAUCUUAACGAUGGAUGUCUUGGUUCCUACAGCGAUGAAGGCCGCAAUUAAAUGCGAUAUUCUGUAUGUAUUAUAUAGACAUUUGAAUAAAUGCUGAAUGUAGAAUUACAAU